AGAGUUUGAUCCUGGCUCAGGAUGAACGCUAGCGGCAGGCUUAAUACAUGCAAGUCGAACGGAUAUAGCAAUAUAUUAGUGGCGCACGGGUGAGUAACGCGUACAUAACAUGCCUUGGACUGGGGAAUAGCCUUUGGAAACGAGGAGUAAUACCCCAUAGUAUUUGAGACUGGCAUCGGUAUCAAAUUAAAGCUACGGCGGUUCAAGAUUGAUGUGCGUUGGAUUAGGUAGUUGGUAAGGUAACGGCUUACCAAGCCUACGAUCCAUAGGGGGCGUGAGAGCGUGACCCCCCACACGGGUACUGAGACACGGACCCGACUCCUACGGGAGGCAGCAGUAGGGAAUAUUGGUCAAUGKAGGCAACUCUGAACCAGCCAUGCCGCGUGGAGGAAGAAGGCGCUCAGGGUCGUAAACUCCUUUUAUAUGGGACGAAAAUGGGGGAUUUAUCCUCAACUGACGGUACCAUAGGAAUAAGCACCGGCUAACUCCGUGCCAGCAGCCGCGGUAAUACGGAGGGUGCAAGCGUUAUCCGGAUUUACUGGGUUUAAAGGGUGCGUAGGCGGGAUUUUAAGUCAGUGGUGAAAGCUCGUUGCUUAACCAAGGAAUUGCCAUUGAAACUGAAGUUCUUGAGAUAAUUUGAGGUUGGCGGAAUGAGACAUGUAGCGGUGAAAUGCAUAGAUAUGUCUUAGAACACCGAUUUGCAAGGCAGCUGACUGGACUUUAUCUGACGCUGAGGCACGAAAGCGUGGGGAUCAAACAGGAUUAGAUACCCUGGUAGUCCACGCCCUAAACGAUGUUUACUUGCUGUUUGCCUUUCCGGGGUGAGUGGCGAAGCGAAAGCGAUAAGUAAGCCACCUGGGGAGUACGACCGCAAGGUUGAAACUCAAAGGAAUUGACGG
rnacentral:rRNA from 1 species